UUUGAUAUUCCUGUGCAGCUGGGCUGCAGGAGUUCGGUUCCUAAAGGGAAGAAAUCACACUGAGAUUCCUCUGAGCUCCUGAAUCAGGGCUGUAGAAAGAGAUCAGCAGAGGUAUGGAAGAUUUGUCAACCACUUUUCAGCAGAUGGGAAGUGAUGCAUAGAGAUGAAGUGAUGUAGUAUUUCACGGAUACUCCAUCAGAGCAAGUACUGUGAAUCACUCUUACUAAGGUCUAGGUCCUGCUUUUUAUAAACUUAAGAGCUUACCAUUGCAUUAAGAAAUUAUCUUGGGGCACAGAUCUUCCACUGGUAAACUUGUCAUAGCUCCAGUGAAGUCAGUGGGGCCAAGGACCUGCCUGACUUUGCAAUCAAGCAAUCAAGCUUUUGAGUCUUUGGUUUCCGACAGCAAGAAAUCUCAGAGGCCUGUGCUGGUGCAUUUCCAAAGCAGAUCCCUGUUGAGCAAGGAAUUGUAGCAAGGGGUCUCUUUGCUUCUGUCAGCUACUGAAGAAGAAAAAGAUGAGGGUCUUUGAAAACAGUUUUACCUUUAUAUGUUGGGCAGCGACCCAUCCUGCUGGGUGUAGAGCUGAAACACAAUGCCUAGGAGGAGAUUGUGGAGAAUUUUAGCCAGCCAGUAGACCUUUUCUACCUCAAACUGGCAUCUGAGAAAAGGAAAGAGGAUUAAAACUAGACACAUCUACUCGGUGUGGCAAUGCAAACUUCUGGAGUGAUAGAAGGAGAGGUGGGGGGAAAACACUUAUUGCACCCCUGCUCUUUGAACUGCUGGUUUUCUCAAAGGAGAUAAUGAAGAAACUUUCCUAUAUUCUAAGGAACGCAAAGGAUAGGGUUAAUUCCAUUCACGAGGAAUUGGGAGUAUCCACACACUCAAGACAGCCAGCUGAACCAGUCAAUGGGAUAUUCCAUACCAUACAAGAUGAUGCCUGCUAUAUAAGAGGACAACUGGCCUGGGCAGGCAAGAGACCUUCAGAACAGAGAAGCCAAAAUCUCAUCGGCAGUAAGAAGAAUCAUGCAUCAUAACUGGUCUGAUGAGGUUCCUGGGAAAUCCUUAUGGAAAGAGGUUAUUUCAGUAGUCUACUAACAGUACCCUGAAAUAAUGUAGCAUGUGCACGACAGUGCCAGCCAGCAAGAAAGAAGAGAACCUGUCUACAGAGCCAAAAGAGCAAACUACAACCCACCAUCCCACUCAUUAGACAUCUAGGAAAUGUCUUCUACGUCCUUACAGAAGAAAAUCUGGAAUAUGUUUUGAGAUGAACGCAGAAUCUUGCUAAUCCAAAGGAAGACAUGCAGGGCAUGGCAAAAGACCGAAGAUUUGAUGUGGUAAAUUAUCAUCUAAGUGCAAGUAUCUAGAGCUGGUACUGAAAGAAUGGGAACAGACACAAAAACUUCAACAGGGAGCAUAGCAUUUCCUCAGAAAACAAACUGCCCUGUGAAGGAAGGGGAAGCUUUGAGAAGGAAAAGUUCAAAAUGGAAGAAAGAAUGUGGAAUUAAAAACAAAGGUGAAAGAUAGGAGGAGAAAUUCUUAAUAUGUGUUAUAAGUACUGGAAAAGUACAGGAAGUUUGAAGAGUUAAAUGGAGAGUAAAAGAAUUCAGGACGCAAGAAGUGUGUUGUUUCAUUUAUGUGAACUACUUCUGCCUUCUCCUUUUGAAAUUUUCAUAGAUUUCACAAAGGAUUUAUUUAUGGUCAACAGAGAUGAAUAUUCAUCAAGAAGCAAGGAGAAGUUCUUCUGAGAUAAGGAAAUAUGACUAAUCCUCUUGAUUGCCCUAAUAGACAGUCCUGAAGCUCUGUGCCAAAAAGAUUUCUAAUGGUUACUGCUUGUCCUUGGCCUGUUCCUUACUGCCUCAAAACACUUGGUGACCAAGAAGGCCUUUGAACUUCACAGCGUUUAUGCAACACAGAACUGUAAAAAUAUCAAGACUACCAACUACAGAGAUAUUUUUACUGUCUCUGCAGGAUUCAAGGAUGCCAAGAGAAGGUAGCAGAUACAUGGUGCUGAGUUAGGAACCAGUUUUGCACUGGUUGAAAAGCUUGUUGAACUUGUAUGAUGCAGAGGAUACAGGUGAAGUGGGUUGUGCCAUCUGCUUGGAAAGAAAAGGCAAGGGAGAAUUUUAACAGCUGUUUGUUGACUCAGUCAUCUCUGAUUGUUUGUGCCACAGCAGCAGAUUACUGCCAAAGAAAUGCAUCCCCUGUUGCUUAAUAGACCUGACCUGGAUGUUGUAAAGUUACACCUGCUGGAAACAAGCCUUAUGAUGUACUGUUCAUACAAUGCUGGUGAUUCUACUAGAGAAAUAUCCUGAAAUCAGCAUGUUGAUUUUAUUCUUGUUUCCCUUUGUAGUAGUAGCAUAUAGCAGGAGGCAGGAGAUAUAUCCCUGCUAGUUCUGCAAGGUGAAUAGGGCCUGAGCAUGAUGCUCCAUAUUAUAUUCAGAUUUUCCCUGAGUAUGCUCAGUUUUGUUGGGUAUGACAUACUGCAUGUGAGUCACUCAUAUUCUGCAUGAGUCAUAUGUUGAAGUGUGAAAGCAAUGCUGUAUCUCUGCCGUUGUUACCCGUUGCUCAGCUGCUGCCAUACCACGUAGCUCAAGCCAAUUGAGCUCACCUUCCCAGUUUGAGCCAGCUCUCAUCAUCUGCCUGAGUCCUUAUAAUGCCAUUCAAGGUGUUGCCUAAUAUAUAGCUAAAGUGAAUGCAAUAUGUGUUUGAGUUUGGGCUUUGAGUUACUAGUCUCUGGAAUACAACUUCCAAACAUUCUUCUAAAAAGAUUGUAAACUAUCCAGAAAAAGGUAGCUACCUUUAAAACGUAUUUCAAAAAGGAAAAUAAGUAAAGUAGGUUUAUAAUACACACACCUGUAGCACUAGAUGAAUUUUCCUUCCUCAAACAUCUGACAUUGUAAGUCUGCAAUGUUGUUCUGUGUCUAGUGGAUCCUUUAAAGAUCAGGUGGCCUGAGAAGUUUGAGAAACUCUAGUGCAGUCAUACCCUGGAGUUCCUUUGCUAAAGAUGGCACAUCCAUUGUGGACUAAAUGAGAUGAGAGUUGUUUUAUUUAGCAAUAA